rnacentral:misc_RNA from 1 species
CUAAAUUCUUUUUUUUUUUUUUGUGCUCCCUUUGCGUUUCCAAUGUUUGUGACAAGCAAAUCUUCAAAGAGUAUUUCAUCUAUUUUAUCAAAGUGAAACUAUUCCAGACUAGGCUUAAAGUUUUCAUAACUGAAGUUGUCUGGUUUAAUAAUUGAGCAGAAAAGUUUCUAGGAUUUUUAACAGCCUGCCGCUGGAGGUUCCUAAAACUAUAUAAAUUUACUACAGUUCUGGCAUGCAACUACAAAUAAGAUUCAACAAAUACAACAUUAUGUGGCUUUAUACUGAUGAUGGAAAAACAAAAAUGCAAAGACAUUCAAAAUUUCAGGGACAGAUACAGUGAUAUUGUUUUGCUAAUUAUCAAAUCAAUUUAACCUUUCUUACUGCCAGCUUCUAAGUGGUUUUAUCUCCAAUUAUAUGGCCAUUUACCAUCAAACAAGGUCUUAUGGUAAUAUUUGAAAACAACACAAGUAGUAUAAUAUGCUAGCAAUGCCAUGAAAAUAAACAUGC